rnacentral:tRNA from 1 species
GGAGAGAUGGCUGAGUGGACUAAAGCGUCGGGUUGCUAAUCUGUUGUCCUCUCUUUCCA